AGAUUCGUGAUGGACUUCUUCAGGCUACUGUUGGGCAUUAAAUCUUUGUUGCUCAUGAAUGUUGAUGGAUUUCAUAUCAAAGCAAGUUUUUGUCAAGUUAGUCUUUUCUUUCUUAAAAACAUGGAAAUAUGUGGUGAAGGGAUUUUGUUAGAGAUUGUGAAUCCUAUGACUAUCUAUGUUUAUAACCAGUUUGGUAAGGUUUUGAAUGUUUAAAGUAUUGUGUAAAAAGUAUUUUCAGGUUCUAUAAGAUUGUUCUACAGCAUUGUACAUCUU
rnacentral:misc_RNA from 1 species